rnacentral:rRNA from 1 species
UACAGAGGGGGCAAGCGUUGUUCGGAAUUACUGGGCGUGAAGGGCGCGUAGGCGGCCCGCUAAGUCGAACGUGAAAUCCCCGAGCUCAACUCGGGAACUGCGUCCGAUACUGGCGGGCUUGAAUCCGGGAGAGGGAUGCGGAAUUCCUGGUGUAGCGGUGGAAUGCGCAGAUAUCAGGAGGAACACCGAUGGCGAAGGCAGCUCGCUGGGACGGUACUGACGCUGAGGCGCGAAAGCGUGGGGAGCAAACAGG